UUGAACGCUGGCGGCAUGCCUUACACAUGCAAGUCGAACGGUAGAGGGGCAACCCUUGAGAGUGGCGAACGGGUGAGCAAUAUAUCGGAACGUGCCCAGUCGUGGGGGAUAACGCAGCGAAAGCUGCGCUAAUACCGCAUACGAUCUAUGGAUGAAAGCGGGGGAUCGCAAGACUUCGCGCGAUUGGAGCGGCCGAUAUCAGAUUAGGUAGUUGGUGGGGUAAAAGCCCACCAAGCCGACGAUCUGUAGCUG
rnacentral:rRNA from 1 species